rnacentral:lncRNA from 1 species
ACUUCAGUUACACGGCCGCAGAACUUGCAAGGGAGUCGAAGCAGGUUUGUACCUCUGACUAAGGAAGGAUUGAAAUCGACAACUAGCAGCUUCCGCCACUUGGAGUUUUCACAAACUGCAGAGAAGACAGGUUGCUUUCCUUGCCAUAAUCCAUCAAUUUCCAAAGAGUACAAAAGUCCUUGAAGAAAGAAGCCUAUAGCUGUCAAAAAGAUGCAGGAGUCAUCUCAGGAAGUCUGAAGAACCCCACCAGUAGAUCCUGGAAAAAAAAAAAAACAAACAAACAGAACCUAGAAAAGUAAAACUAACAGAGAAGCCUGUAUGUACACUUCAGUGCAAGAUAUUAUUAUUUUGAGUUCAGUGGAACUCCAUGGUAAUGGUGGCUGGGACCAACGUGCCGGGAUCAUGUCCAGUGGAAGAAGCAGGAUGUUUGAACAUAGUGUUAAGUUCAUUUAGAGGAGGCAGGGAAGAUUUUCUGCUUUACUGUCAGGGAAGAGAGCGAGUCCUCUGCCUUGGACUCUGGGACAGAGACAGGACCUGGUCACCUGCUGAGUGCCAUCGAUUCUUCUGUGGGAUCCUAACAGUGGCUAGCUAUUCUGUAUAUGUCCAAGCAUGGGAAACACAUUUCUCAGCUGAGUUAAAUAAGACACAAAGUGGCAAUUAAUGCUAUAGAAAUUGUUAGAUUACAUCAUGUGAAAUAGCUGCUAUCCAGCUAUGGUUCUUCAACCUACAAAAAUGGUAAUUUAAUAUGACUCAACCUCAUCUCUUAUUAAACUAUAAG